rnacentral:rRNA from 1 species
GAUGAACGCUAGCGAUAGGCUUAACACAUGCAAGUCGAGGGGCAGCAUGGUCUUAGCUUGCUAAGGCUGAUGGCGACCGGCGCACGGGUGCGUAACGCGUAUGCAACUUGCCUCACAGAGGGGGAUAACCCGUCGAAAGACGGACUAAUACCGCGUACACUCUAUGUUGGGCAUCCAAUGUAGAGGAAAUGAAAUUCGCUGUGAGAUAGGCAUGCGUCCCAUUAGCUAGUUGGUGAGGUAACGGCUCACCAAGGCGACGAUGGGUAGGGGAACUGAGAGGUUGAACCCCCACACUGGUACUGAGACACGGACCAGACUCCUACGGGAGGCAGCAGUGAGGAGUAUUGGUCAAUGGGCGAGAGCCUGAACCAGCCAAGUCGCGUGAAGGAUGACUGUCUUAUGGAUUGUAAACUUCUUUUAUACGGGAAUAACAAGAGUCACGUGUGGCUCCCUGCAUGUACCGUAUGAAUAAGCAUCGGCUAACUCCGUG